UACGUAGGGUGCGAGCGUUGUCCGGAAUUAUUGGGCGUAAAGGGCUCGUAGGCGGUUUGUCGCGUCGGGAGUGAAAACACCGGGCUUAACUCGGUGCUUGCUUUCGAUACGGGCAGACUAGAGGUAUGCAGGGGAGAACGGAAUUCCUGGUGUAGCGGUGAAAUGCGCAGAUAUCAGGAGGAACACCGGUGGCGAAGGCGGUUCUCUGGGCAUUACCUGACGCUGAGGAGCGAAAGCUAGGGUAGCAAACGGG
rnacentral:rRNA from 1 species